rnacentral:rRNA from 1 species
GGAAUCUUGCACAAUGGGCGCAAGCCUGAUGCAGCAACGCCGCGUGCGGGAAGAAGGCCUUAGGGUUGUAAACCGCUUUCAGUAGGGAAGAAAAUGACGGUACCUACAGAAGAAGGUGCGGCCAACUACGUGCCAGCAGCCGCGGUAACACGUAGGCACCAAGCGUUAUCCGGAUUUAUUGGGCGUAAAGAGCUCGUAGGCGGUUCAGUCAGUCGGGUGUGAAAACUUGAGGCUUAACCUCAAGAGGUCACUCGAUACUACUGUGACUAGAGUGCGGUAGGGGAGCGGGGAAUUCCUGGUGUACCGGUGAAAUGCGCAGAUAUCAGGAGGAACACCAGUGGCGAAGGCGCCGCUCUGGGCCGUAACUGACGCUGAGGAGCGAAAGCAUGGGUAGCAAACAGGAUUAGAUACCCUGGUAGUCCAUGCCGUAAACGUUGGGCACUAGGUGUGGGUCUCAACCAACGAGAUCCGCGCCGUCGCUAACGCAUUAAGUGCCCCGCCUGGGGAGUACGGUCGCAAGACU